UACGUAGGGUGCAAGCGUUAAUCGGAAUUACUGGGCGUAAAGCGUGCGCAGGCGGUUUUGUAAGUCUGACGUGAAAUCCCCGGGCUCAACCUGGGAAUUGCGUUGGAGACUGCAAGGCUAGAAUCUGGCAGAGGGGGGUAGAAUUCCACGUGUAGCAGUGAAAUGCGUAGAGAUGUGGAGGAACACCGAUGGCGAAGGCAGCCCCCUGGGUCAAGAUUGACGCUCAUGCAUGAAAGCGUGGGGAGCAAACAGG
rnacentral:rRNA from 1 species